rnacentral:rRNA from 1 species
UACGUAGGGAGCAAGCGUUGUUCGGAUUUACUGGGCGUAAAGGGCGCGUAGGUGGCCAACUAAGUCAGACGUGAAAUCCCUCGGCUUAACCGGGGAACUGCGUCUGAUACUGGAUGGCUUGAGUUCGGGAGAGGGAUGCGGAAUUCCAGGUGUAGCGGUGAAAUGCGUAGAUAUCUGGAGGAACACCGGUGGCGAAGGCGGCAUCCUGGACCGACACUGACACUGAGGAGCGAAAGCCAGGGGAGCAAACGGG